GAAGUAUUAAUUUUAAAAUAAAAGCUGCUAACUUAUUAUUAUAACGGUUAAAUUCCGUUUAUACUUCU
rnacentral:tRNA from 1 species